rnacentral:rRNA from 1 species
AUUGAACGCUGGCGGCAGGCCUAACACAUGCAAGUCGAGCGGAUGAAGAGAGCUUGCUCUCUGAUUCAGCGGCGGACGGGUGAGUAAUGCCUAGGAAUCUGCCUGGUAGUGGGGGACAACAGUUGGAAACGACUGCUAGUACCGCAUACGUCCUACGGGAGAAAGCAGGGGACCUUCGGGCCUUGCGCUAUCAGAUGAGCCUAGGUCGGAUUAGCUAGUAGGUGAGGUAAUGGCUCACCUAGGCGACGAUCCGUAACUGGUCUGAGAGGAUGAUCAGUCACACUGGAACUGAGACACGGUCCAGACUCCUACGGGAGGCAGCAGUGGGGAAUAUUGGACAAUGGGCGAAAGCCUGAUCCAGCCAUGCCGCGUGUGUGAAGAAGGUCUUCGGAUUGUAAAGCACUUUAAGUUGGGAGGAAGGGCAGUAAGUUAAUACCUUGCUGUUUUGACGUUACCGACAGAAUAAGCACCGGCUAACUUCGUGCCAGCAGCCGCAGUAACAC